rnacentral:rRNA from 1 species
GAUGAACGCUGGCGGCGUGCCUAAUACAUGCAAGUCGAGCGAAUGGAUUAAGAGCUUGCUCUUAUGAAGUUAGCGGCGGACGGGUGAGUAACACGUGGGUAACCUGCCCAUAAGACUGGGAUAACUCCGGGAAACCGGGGCUAAUACCGGAUAACAUUUUGAAACGCAUGGUUCGAAAUUGAAAGGCGGCUUCGGCUGUCACUUAUGGAUGGACCGGCGUCGCAUUAGCUAGUUGGUGAGGUACCGGCUCACCAAGGCAACGAUGCGUAGCCGAUCUGAGAUGGUGAUCGGCCACACUGGGACUGAGACACGGCCCAGACUCCUACGGGAGGCAGCAGUAGGGAAUCUUCCGCAAUGGACGAAAGUCUGACGGAGCAACGCCGCGUGAGUGAUGAAGGCUUUCGGGUCGUAAAACUCUGUUGUUAGGGAAGAACAAGUGCUAGUUGAAUAAGCUGGCACCUUGACGGUACCUAACCAGAAAGCCACGGCUAACUACGUGCCAGCCGCCGCGGUAA